AAUAUCGAAAGCACAAGCGACAGUAGACAUAACAGGUCUUACCUGACACCAGAGGCGGUCUUGUGCCAUUUUUUGCCGUUGUUCUACUACCAACUGCGGUGCUAGCUGUGGAUAACAUAUUUUGCACCAUUGCCUGUGCCAACCACCAAAAUCCCGAUGAAGAGGAAGUAGACGACGCUCAUGGGGAGGAAUUGUAAGGUCGAACUGUCGAAGCAUAAACACCAUACAUGCCAAUGAUUCUUGAUGGAAAUUUAAUUCCCUACAACCAUCCCCUUGUACGUUAAAAUGGAACAGAACCCAUUGCUGGAAAGCGGACGACUGUGGAUGCGAUCUGAAAACUCCUAUAACCCGGGAGUGCCACCCA